GUCUAUUUUGAAUGACAGAUUUGUGCAGGAUGUCCUGGGUUGCACUAGUGACUGUUCUCUCUGACCAAUCAGUGGCCUGCAGUGUUUUAGUCCCGCAUUGCCAGACCGGCCUCCACAGCUCUGCAGAGCAAGGUCUGGCUAGUCCACACAGCAUUCCGGGAUAGGA